rnacentral:misc_RNA from 1 species
CUGUUCGGCCCUUCUCUUCCGAGUAUCUACAACAGAAGACCAGGGACAGAGCUAUCUUUAGUGAACGGGGAGUGGGAAUCGGGAACGGGAGUAGGAAUUGGAAGCUUUGCGGCACAAUGUCCCAUUUGCUGGUGUGUUUGACCAAUGAAAGCUUGAAUGGAUGCCCUCAGCAAACAUCUUUGUAGUAGCAUUGGAUAAGUGGAGCUGGAUAGAUCAAGGAUGCUAUCUGAGAGCCUCUGCCUGCAUGAAAAUCAAUCUUGACAUGGAUUUGUGGCAAUGACGAGACAUUGACUGGAAAUCAAUGUUCAGAAAAACCUUUGAAAACAUUUCUUCUUUCUUUUACUGAGUUGUAUUAUUAUCUGUGUGGAAGUUAUCUGUUUGGAAGACACAUGACCUGGAUAUACCAAAGCUGCUAUCUGAGAGCUUAGGCCUGCAUGAAAAGCACAGUACAGAAGGAUAUACGUGGGAAAGAAAUGAAUGAAUUGGUAAGGAAGAGAAAUUGAGAGAGCUAGGGUGAGGCAUGGCAUGACUAGGACAGGAGCAGAUGAAGUCUACUUCUGUCAUUCUCAUGCACUGCCUCUUCCCGGGCUCCCCCAACAUAUAUGGAAACCAGUUUCCUUUGAGAUAUUCCAACGAAGUUUUUUUGGUGGAUGUGUACAGCUGCAGUUAAAUUUAGAGCUAGAAGUCAACCUUGAAAGACUCUAAAUUUGGUCUGUUCAAAUAGUAGCCAAAAUCUGGUUUUAAAUAACUGUUAAAAGAUAGUGUUAUUGAAAUCCUUUUGAAUCUAAUGCAAGAAUGUACCAUGUGUAAGAACAGGUGAAAAGUAAUACCAUAAAAACAAUUUCAUCCAAAGAUGAAAACCAUGCCAUGGUUAUAUUUGAAGUUUUUGCAUAUUAUCCCAAACUUAGAAAUUUGAGAAGGAAAAUCACAAUACUCCAUUCCAAUAUUCAGAAAGGACCUGGUCAUGAUAAAUAUACAGUACAAAAAGAAAAUACACUAAAGGGUCUAGGUAAAGUGUGGUAUGAUAGUACAAGUACGGAUGCUAUUAGAAUGAACAACACACCCAAUGUUCUUGAAGUCCAAGUAGUUCCACAUUGGAGCUCUUGGGGUAUCAUUGGAGUAAAUUGUCCAUGAGGGAAAUGUGAAAAUAUCAGCAAUUGUCUUGAGUGUGUUAUCACAAUGUUCAAAGUUAUAAUUGAUAUUUUGAUUGCUAGUACUUCCACCUUACUUAGAUCAAGGCUACAUGCAAAUGGGCUUGUCCAUAUUCAAAGAUUGGGAAAAACCUGUUUUGCUCGAAGUUGCAAGUAAUAUAUUGAGCAUUUUGAUUCCAUG